rnacentral:lncRNA from 1 species
UUUUCUAAGCAUAGAUUAUUGAAAUUUGUCAUUGCCUUCAAUAGUCCUGAAGGUGAAUCAUGUUUGAAAUAAUUGACUUAAGUUGGUUCACCUUUAAAAUUGCGUCGUCGCCCUCAUCUAGCAUUUGUUUUGAUGUGAGAUUCUCAGUGAAUGGUGGGAGCAUUCAAAUAAGCCAUGAAACAAACAGCAAGAGAAUUCUGUAUAUAGAUCAAAGAUGUCCCUGAUGGUACAAUUCUCUUCAACUUUUCAUCACACCUGACCUUGAAGAAUCUCUAUGAAAUGAAGAAGGCGAAGAAGAGUGUAUGUUAAUCAACUCAUGUUCUUGAUACUGUUUUUAGUAACAGAUUCAACACCCAUUUUGUAUGUGGUGUUGUGGAUAACUUUCUUAAAAUUCAGCAUUCUCCUGUGACAGCAUGUAGGAUCCUGCAGUGAAGUCAAUGCAAACUCUUUAGAUGGAUUUUGGUUGAUGUCCUUCAAACAGUCAGAAAUUGUGACAUUGACAAAAGGGGAAAAAAAAUCAAGAACGAGAAUAAAAAAAAAUCAGAAAUAAAAUAAAAAACAAGAGAUGACUAUGAAUGGUAGGCAGGGCAUGUAGGUAUUGUCUAUGGAUGAAUAAUGACUCUGGAAAUGGUUAGAGGCAUUAAAUGAAUAAAAAUACAUAGUAUAAAUGACUUGCAUCAUAAAACUCAACGAAGUCAGAGAUUUCUAAUAUUUUUUCUACUCAUCACAUGUCACACACUAUUCAAGUUGAUGUCAUUUGCUUCCUAUGCUCCUCUUUUCAAAAUCUUCAA